rnacentral:rRNA from 1 species
AUUGAACGCUGGCGGCAGGCUUAACACAUGCAAGUCGAGCGGGGUGAUGGUGCUUGCACUAUCACUUAGCGGCGGACGGGUGAGUAAUGCUUAGGAAUCUCCCUAUUAGUGGGGGACAACAUCUCGAAAGGGAUGCUAAUACCGCAUACGUCCUACGGGAGAAAGCAGGGGAUCACUUGUGACCUUGCGCUAAUAGAUUAGCCUAAGUCGGAUUAGCUAGUUGGUGGGGUAAAGGCCUACCAAGGCGACGAUCUGUAGCGGGUCUGAGAGGAUGAUCCGCCACACUGGGACUGAGACACGGCCCAGACUCCUACGGGAGGCAGCAGUGGGGAUUAUUGGUCAAUGGAUGGAAGUCUGAACCAGCCAUGCCGCGUGCAGGAAGAAGGCCUUCUGGGUUGUAAACUGCUUUUGCCAGGGGCUAAAAAGCCCAUGCGUGGGAAAUUGAAAGUACCUGGUGAAUAAGCCACGGCUAACUACGUGCCAGCAGCCGCCGCCG